GUAUAUGAUUAUGAUAUGACACAGAAUAACAAUACAAUUAAAGCGUAUAUUGUGCAUCCGGAGCAACCGUCCAGAGCGCAUAUGUCCUUAUCUCUCUUUCAUAAAGAGAAUACAAGUGACAGAUUUGUUGUUAAUGAUCCUUCCGCAGGUUCACCUACGGAAA
rnacentral:misc_RNA from 1 species